AGGUGGGUAGCUCAAUCAGAGCAUGAGACUCUUAAUCUCAGGGUCAUGGAUUUGAAAUCCAUGCUUGGCAA